GUAGGUGGCAAGCGUUGUCCGGAAUUAUUGGGCGUAAAGCGCGCGCAGGCGGUCCUUUAAGUCUGAUGUGAAAGCCACGGCUCAACCGUGGAGGGUCAUUGGAAACUGGGGGACUUGAGUACAGAAGAGGAAAGCGGAAUUCCAAGUGUAGCGGUGAAAUGCGUAGAGAUUUGGAGGAACACCAGUGGCGAAGGCGGCUUUCUGGUCUGUAACUGACGCUGAGGCGCGAAAGCGUGGGGAGCAAACAGGGAUUAGAUACCCUGGUAGUCCACGCCGUAAACGAUGAGUGCUAAGUGUUAGGGGGUUUCCGCCCCCUUAGUGCUGCAGCUAACGCAUUAAGCACUCCGCCUGGGGAUACGGCCGCAAGGCUG
rnacentral:rRNA from 1 species